rnacentral:snRNA from 1 species
AUACUAACCUGGCAGGGGAGACACCAGGAUCGCAAAGAGGUUUUCUAAAGGUGAAGCUGGGAGGCACUGACCCUGUGAUUUCCCCAACUCUGGGAAGCAUGAUGGUACAAUUAGUGGCAGUGGAGGACUGCGUUCGUGCUCUCCCCUG